CCAAUCGACACACUUAACCCUAGCAAUCGAAUCCGAUGUCGCAGAAGAACUUCAGGGAAAGGAUAAUCGAAAAGGCAGAAGGCGUGAACGAUGCCAAAAACGAAGACGAAGAAGAGUGGAGAAACAGAGAGAGCGGAAAUUAGGGGUCCCUGAGAUCCCAAAGCUGCAAAGCGGCGGCGCUGUGGCUGAACCGACUGCAAAGAGCGAAGCAGCUGACGGGGAGAAGGAGGAGCUGGUUCUGCAGGAUGCUUUCGUUCAAGAAAAUGCUGUCAUGGUUGGAGAUCCCAACAUGUAAUUAGUCCUCUCUUAAAAUCUCCUACUUGCGUUUUCCAGCUCGUCUUGUCUGUGUUGGGAGGCUUCUCUACCUUGGAUCAAAUAUUUCCAAAUAUCCUAAAUAUAAGUUAGAAAAUAUUGAGGAAAUGGAGGCAGCCAAAAGCUUCUUCAAGAGAGGAGGCUUGUUGGUUGGUCAAAAUUAGAUUUUAGCUUCCCUGCAAGUUAUAGCGCAGAUUUUUUCCAUCAUGGCAGGGACUACACAGAGAAACUUAGGAGAGUUUUGCAGUGUGUUCCCGCUAAUUUUGUUGACUAUGGAUGAGAAAUUUGCAGAUCACCCCAAGCUGUACAAGAACAAAGUUUCUCAAGAUAAUGGUGUAGGGCCUGAAACAUCUGAUAAUAACACAGAUUCGGCCAGCUGCAACAGAUGAGUUCAAGCGGAAGCAAGCUGGAGUGCUUCCGCAAACGAGAGCGACAUAGGGUAAUGCGCAGAUAGGUAACAUGUGCUUAUGCUCCAACUUCUGAUAUUGUGGUUAGUCAAUUUUGUGCUUUGUUCUACUAUCCAUAUUCUUUUCAUCUGCAGCUUUUGUAAUUAGCAGUGCAAAAUGUAUUUUCAGCAAUGUUUGUUACAAGUAAUCCCUUUGAUGUAAAAGGUAUACAUUCUAAUGUUUAAAAUUUAAAUUCUGAUUCUGCUCUUGCCACCAAUGAUUCUCAUUUGAUUUUACUUAUAUCUUGGUGUAAUAAAAGUUGAGAUUAAGAUUUUGUUUGAAAUCGCACAUAGUUCUUCUUGGAAAUCUGAAUAGUUUCCAGGAUUUUAUCUGUGCCAAUAGCAACAUACAACUAUCGUUUCUGCUUGAGCCUUCUCCUUAAUACUUUUCAAUGGGGAUGUGCGCCUCCAAUGUUAUUGGAUAACAUUCUUUCUCAAAUUGAUUUCAAAGACCAAGUAUCUCAAGGUACGCCAAUAGGCAAUAGCCUAAUUUGAUUUGCAUGGAAAAUAGUGCCAUUUUUAUUGAUGUAACUGCUUGGCGCUUGGCUUUGGCUCCUGGGAUAGAUCCUCGAGGUUUGGAUUGCCCCCCUCUCCCCAAACACCAUGGUAACUCGCAAGGUCUCAAUGUGCUGAGUAAAAUAUGGGUCUCCUUAAAAAUGUUGCCAAUUUAUGUUCAAAAUGGAUAGAUUUUCUCUGGGAUUUUUUUCCAAAUAGAUGUUGCUUGGGAUUGAUCGUUUGCAAGUUGAUCCAUUAUUUGAACUAUUGGGAUGUGGGAUGUUUGCUAGUUAGAUAACUAGCACAUAAUUCAAUUGAAUUAUGGCCUACAUUGGCCAAUUUGAAAAAUCUUUAGAGCUGGUUUCAAAAAUAUUUUUUUUUGGCUUGCACCGCAGUUGAGAUGAUAUUGUGAAAUUUGCUGGUAAACGAGUUAUAGAAGAUGGUGCAUUGCAUUAUUUCUUUAUUCAUCUCAGAUGACUCAGGAUCGUACGAUUGCAUGUGGAGGGGCAUAUCUACUAACUCAAAGAUGAGCCGUACAUGGUUGACCAAGUUUCGUUUGUGUGGAAAGUAGGGAAAGAACAACUUACCCAUUGUACCGGAGGCAUCACUUCCACCAUAAAAGGUUGCAUGGGCUUGUAGCCAAGCCGAUGAGACGGGACUAAGUUUGGCAGAAAGAAGCACC